UACGUAGGGUGCAAGCGUUGUCCGGAAUUAUUGGGCGUAAAGAGCUCGUAGGCGGUUUGUUGCGUCGGCUGUGAAAUCCCGAGGCUCAACCUCGAGACGCCGGUGGAAACCAUCAGGCUAGAGUCCGGAAGAGGAGAGUGGAAUUCCUGGUGUAGCGGUGAAAUGCGCAGAUAUCAGGAAGAACACCCGUGGCUAAGGCGGCUCUCUAGUACGGUACUGACGCUGAGACGCGAAAGCCAGGGGAGCGAACGGG
rnacentral:rRNA from 1 species